UACGUAGGGGGCAAGCGUUGUCCGGAUUUAUUGGGCGUAAAGAGCGUGUAGGCGGCUAGAUAGGUCCGUUGUGAAAACUCGAGGCUCAACCUCGAGACGUCGAUGGAAGCCAUCUGGCUAGAGUCCGGAAGAGGAGAGUGGAAUUCCUGGUGUAGCGGUGAAAUGCGCAGAUAUCAGGAAGAACACCCGUGGCGAAGGCGGCUCUCUGGGACGGUACUGACGCUGAGGAGCGAAAGCCAGGGGAGCAAACGGG
rnacentral:rRNA from 1 species